rnacentral:rRNA from 1 species
AACAUCUAAGUACCCCGAGGAAAAGAAAUCAACCGAGAUUCCCCCAGUAGCGGCGAGCGAACGGGGAGGAGCCCAGAGCCUGAAUCAGUGUGUGUGUUAGUGGAAGCGUCUGGAAAGGCGUGCGAUACAGGGUGACAGCCCCGUACACAAAAAUGCACAUAUUGUGAGCUCGAUGAGUAGGGCGGGACACGUGGUAUCCUGUCUGAAUAUGGGGGGACCAUCCUCCAAGGCUAAAUACUCCUGACUGACCGAUAGUGAACCAGUACCGUGAGGGAAAGGCGAAAAGAACCCCGGCGAGGGGAGUGAAAAAGAACCUGAAACCGUGUACGUACAAGCAGUGGGAGCCUCUUAAUGGGGUGACUGCGUACCUUUUGUAUAAUGGGUCAGCGACUUAUAUUCUGUAGCAAGGUUAACCGAAUAGGGGAGCCGAAGGGAAACCGAGUCUUAACUGGGCGUUAAGUUGCAGGGUAUAGACCCGAAACCCGGUGAUCUAGCCAUGGGCAGGUUGAAGGUUGGGUAACACUAACUGGAGGACCGAACCGACUAAUGUUGAAAAAUUAGCGGAUGACUUGUGGCUGGGGGUGAAAGGCCAAUCAAACCGGGAGAUAGCUGGUUCUCCCCGAAAGCUAUUUAGGUAGCGCCUCGUGAAUUCAUCUCCGGGGGUAGAGCACUGUUUCGGCAAGGGGGUCAUCCCGACUUACCAACCCGAUGCAAACUGCGAAUACCGGAGAAUGUUAUCACGGGAGACACACGGCGGGUGCUAACGUCCGUCGUGAAGAGGGAAACAACCCAGACCGCCAGCUAAGGUCCCAAAGUCAUGGUUAAGUGGGAAACGAUGUGGGAAGGCCCAGACAGCCAGGAUGUUGGCUUAGAAGCAGCCAUCAUUUAAAGAAAGCGUAAUAGCUCACUGGUCGAGUCGGCCUGCGCGGAAGAUGUAACGGGGCUAAACCAUGCACCGAAGCUGCGGCAGCGACACUAUGUGUUGUUGGGUAGGGGAGCGUUCUGUAAGCCUGUGAAGGUGGCCUGUGAGGGUUGCUGGAGGUAUCAGAAGUGCGAAUGCUGACAUAAGUAACGAUAAAGCGGGUGAAAAGCCCGCUCGCCGGAAGACCAAGGGUUCCUGUCCAACGUUAAUCGGGGCAGGGUGAGUCGACCCCUAAGGCGAGGCCGAAAGGCGUAGUCGAUGGGAAACAGGUUAAUAUUCCUGUACUUGGUGUUACUGCGAAGGGGGGACGGAGAAGGCUAUGUUGGCCGGGCGACGGUUGUCCCGGUUUAAGCGUGUAGGCUGGUUUUCCAGGCAAAUCCGGAAAACCAAGGCUGAGGCGUGAUGACGAGGCACUACGGUGCUGAAGUGACAAAUGCCCUGCUUCCAGGAAAAGCCUCUAAGCAUCAGGUAACAUCAAAUCGUACCCCAAACCGACACAGGUGGUCAGGUAGAGAAUACCAAGGCGCUUGAGAGAACUCGGGUGAAGGAACUAGGCAAAAUGGUGCCGUAACUUCGGGAGAAGGCACGCUGAUAUGUAGGUGAAGCGACUUGCUCGUGGAGCUGAAAUCAGUCGAAGAUACCAGCUGGCUGCAACUGUUUAUUAAAAACACAGCACUGUGCAAACACGAAAGUGGACGUAUACGGUGUGACGCCUGCCCGGUGCCGGAAGGUUAAUUGAUGGGGUUAGCGGUAACGCGAAGCUCUUGAUCGAAGCCCCGGUAAACGGCGGCCGUAACUAUAACGGUCCUAAGGUAGCGAAAUUCCUUGUCGGGUAAGUUCCGACCUGCACGAAUGGCGUAAUGAUGGCCAGGCUGUCUCCACCCGAGACUCAGUGAAAUUGAACUCGCUGUGAAGAUGCAGUGUACCCGCGGCAAGACGGAAAGACCCCGUGAACCUUUACUAUAGCUUGACACUGAACAUUGAGCCUUGAUGUGUAGGAUAGGUGGGAGGCUUUGAAGUGUGGACGCCAGUCUGCAUGGAGCCGACCUUGAAAUACCACCCUUUAAUGUUUGAUGUUCUAACGUUGGCCCGUAAUCCGGGUUGCGGACAGUGUCUGGUGGGUAGUUUGACUGGGGCGGUCUCCUCCUAAAGAGUAACGGAGGAGCACGAAGGUUGGCUAAUCCUGGUCGGACAUCAGGAGGUUAGUGCAAUGGCAUAAGCCAGCUUGACUGCGAGCGUGACGGCGCGAGCAGGUGCGAAAGCAGGUCAUAGUGAUCCGGUGGUUCUGAAUGGAAGGGCCAUCGCUCAACGGAUAAAAGGUACUCCGGGGAUAACAGGCUGAUACCGCCCAAGAGUUCAUAUCGACGGCGGUGUUUGGCACCUCGAUGUCGGCUCAUCACAUCCUGGGGCUGAAGUAGGUCCCAAGGGUAUGGCUGUUCGCCAUUUAAAGUGGUACGCGAGCUGGGUUUAGAACGUCGUGAGACAGUUCGGUCCCUAUCUGCCGUGGGCGCUGGAGAACUGAGGGGGGCUGCUCCUAGUACGAGAGGACCGGAGUGGACGCAUCACUGGUGUUCGGGUUGUCAUGCCAAUGGCACUGCCCGGUAGCUAAAUGCGGAAGAGAUAAGUGCUGAAAGCAUCUAAGCACGAAACUUGCCCCGAGAUG